CUCAAAGAUUAAGCCAUGCAAGUGGUUAUAUUAACCCGACAGUUUAAAUAAGUGUUAAAUGCUACCCAUACACUCAUACACGCAUUAUACGAGGUUGAUUACGGGAGUAACAAUUUCAGCGUGAAUCACAUCAUAUAGUGAAUCACUGAAAUACAUUCAGUAUCACUUACGCAACUGCAGACAGCUGCUUAAUACAGUCACACUUGUCUUGACUUGGCUCAUAUGAUUACGCAUACACUGUAUCGUAUCAUAUACUACACACACAUACAUUGAUUUCUCUGUAUCGCUUGUCUUAUAAGGAGAUGCGUUACACCGUGACAAUUUUCUUUAUGGAUAACUCAGGGAAAGUUUGGCUAAUACGUACGAGUAAUAACCUCAUUCACACAUACACAUACAUUCAAUGUAUAUGUAAGACACUACUCAGCACUCAAUGGGUAAACUUUGGGCUUCGUUCGCGUCGCCAGUUUAAAGUUUAACUGCAACAUGAGAGACAUUGAGCACGCACGUGUCGUACCUUCGGGUGCUUCACAUUUACGCCGAGCAGACUUUUGCGAAGUAUACUUUGCGAAGCAUGUCAUACAAGCAUCUACAGCAUCAAGUCCCAGGGUUGGCAAGUGUAUUUUUGAACCUUCAAAGCAGUCACGCAUACGGAAAAGUAGUUUCUGAUCCCAUAGAAGGAGCACCGUACAAUGAGAGACCGCUCUUAGUUCUAAGGAACGCAACAGGCGCGUAAAUUGGCCAAUGCUAGUACCCUACAAUCACAUAACGAUUGAUAUUAUUACGCGUUAACAAUUUACUAACAGCAUAUAUAACACAAUUAUAUUUAUUCUGUCACCCGACAGAACACACACAUCCUUGUUCACGUAAAUAUCCUCGCUAUAUGUAAUUAAUUUUACUGAGGCAGUGACAAGCUGUAACGGUUGAGUAUAAAAAUGACGAGUGUCUGGCAUUGCCGCUCCUUCGGGAGCUUGGCAAGUUGCCGACGCUUUGUGUGCUCAAUUGGAAUGCGGUGAGUUUAAGCAACUCAGAACCUUUGGACGGUGUUUGUAAUAUUUCACUGUUCACGUAUCUGAAUUUCAAGUGGAGGGCAAGUCUGGUGCCAGCAGCCGCGGUAAUACCAGCUCCACUGGCCUAUACAAUCAUUGUUGCGGUUAAGAGGCUCGUAGUUGGAUUGAACUGCAAACACAAUAUAUGAAUGAAUUCUAUUCAUUCUGCGUUUGAUAGUUUCUACGCGUCACUAUAUAUAGUUUCGCGUAUCGACGCUACCUAAAUGAAAGUAUUACCACGUAUACGGUUUACCGUGUUACAGUGAUAUUUCUAAUAACAUGCACACUCGCUCGCUGUAUCAUCACACACAUACACACUCUCUGCAGCAACUGAGUGAUACAAUAUAUCAUACGUCAUCGUACGAUACACGCAGAGAAUUGAAUACAUUCUCUUAUUUCAACACUGUGAACAAAUCAGAGUGUAUCAAACAUGUCGUUUUUGAAUGUGCAUUGAAUGUCUUAUCAUGGGAUGUUGCACUUUCAGCCUGUUAAGAAUUAUUACGUAUAACACACAUACCCACAGCAGUAGCUGGUAUAAAUUCAUAACGGUUAUAAAUGUCGAUGGGGAUAGUUGGAGUCAACAGUACUGCUGGGCGAGAGGUGAAAUUCAUUGACCCUAGCAAGACUACCAAAAGCGAAAGCAGUUGGCUAGGCUAUACUCUUUGUGCUUGCGCAUGUGAUUAUACACACAUAUUACACACAUACACGUACACAUGUGAGAUAUAUGAUACAUAACGCAUUACACUUUACAAUGAAGAACGAAGGUUGGGGGAUCAAAGAGGAUCAGAUACCCUCGUCGUCCCAUUAAUUACAUCAAACGAUGGGCUCUCAAUUGCAUUUACUUUUAAAUUGCAAAUCUCCUCAGCCUACAAAAUGACUUGGCUUGAGCUCGUAACUCUGUUACGCUCGCCUGACUAUUUUCGUACGGUCUCGAUGGACGUUUCAUUUAACUAUCUUUGCGUGUAAGCAUUGUACUAAUCUUUGAAACACAAGAUUGUACUGCGUGCACUUGAUUUUCGGAGCUUUGCGCUCAAUUCUGGUGAGAUGUAAGCAGUAUGUUAUAUUACCCGCAGUGUAUGUCCUCGGGCAUUUCAUCUGUCGUGUUGUAAUUAACACCUUUUACUGUGAAGCACCCUUUAGGCACGCGCUUACUGCAGAAAUGUCUGAGAUAUUUUUCUCCGGGGGUAGUAUGCACGCAAGUGUGAAACUUGAAGGAAUUGACGGAAGGGCACCACAAGAACGCGUGGAGCAUGUGGCUUAAUUUGACUCAACGCGGGAAAUCUUACCGGGUCCGGACACACUGAGGAUUGACAGGUAUUAUUGUAUAUUUACACUCUCUUAACGUGUGUGAUAUACAUGUUAAAUAUGCUAGUCCUUUCAUGAUUAUGUGAUAGGUGGUGCAUGGCCGUUCUUAGUUCGUGGAGUGAUCUGUCUGCUUAAUUGCGUUUCACUAAGGGCCUAUAAAUUUACGUAUGUUGCGGCACUUUGACCCCUCUUUAUAGAGCGCGUGUCUUUGAUUGCUUAGCUCAUACAAUUAGGUCCUGAAAGCAACGAACGUGACCGCAACCUCUUGUUACCUUUAUACCAAACACGUUGCAGUAAUAUUUUUAUUAUCUUGCUUCGUGCAAAAAGGCUUUUAAACUAGAGGGACCGCUGUUACUUUCUUAAACCAGAGGAAGGUUGCGGCAUAACAGGUCUGUGAUGCCCUUAGAUGUUCUGGGGCUGCACACGUGCUACAAUGAUUAUUGCAGUGAGCAUCUCAUUUUUACACACCGCAUGCGCGAGUCUAUUUAUUCACCAUUUGUGUGCUUUAAAUAUGUAUCUUCUGCGCGCGGUAAAGCCUGCUUCGAAAGUAAGUGGGUAAUCAAUUAGAAGUAAUGAUUUCCUUAUAUAGCACACAUAUAUACGGCAUCUUUACCCGGCCUGCCUUGUUGCAGGUUCUUGUGUGUAUUGAUGUUUUUUCCGUAUGUGCGAUUGUCAAUUCAUGGUGGGGACAGACCAUUGUUAAUUGUUGGUCUCGGUCUUAACUAGGAAUGCCUUGUACGGGUCUUUGGUUCAACAAACCACCCGGAAUACGUCCCUGCCCUUUGUACACACCGCCCGUCGCUCUUACCGAUGGACUUCUCUGUGAGUUUGAGGGACUGGGAACGCAUAUCUCUAUAUGCACACCUAUGGAAACUUAAACGAACAGUGUGGUCUAAAGGAAAGAGAAGUCGUAACAAGGCAUCGGUAGGUGAACCUGCAGAAGGAUCA
rnacentral:rRNA from 1 species